UUAAAACAAAUACAAUAAGGAGAGAAAAUAAGUGUUUGUACAAAGAUCAGGGUGGCUGUCUAAUCUGACAGGAAUGUUGGACUAAGCUGUGCAUCCUUUACUCUUGAGUGACCAUCAUUAUCCUAAUUCUCCGUUUUUACGUGAAUUUGUGUCAGAAAAUACUCCAUCAUCAACAUCAACAACAACAAUCACCAUCGUCAUCAUACAGCGUCAAACCGCCCUCCUAACCCACAAAAGCAAACCUACAGGUGUCAAUGCACCGAGUGCCCGUCGACACGGAAGAACGCUCAACCAUAAAUUAUGUACAACGAUUCCUAUCUUACGGCCGGGUACACAAUACCCCGGGUGGACCUCACACCCUGCACCCUGACCUCGGCUAUUACGUCACACCAUUUCGACUGAACCAGUCUAUCCGUUGGUGGAGGGCACAGACAAUCACUGUGUUGCAGGUGUGUUAGGGUGGCAGGGUGGAGUCGGCAAUGACGUCCUCACCUGUAGUUCUCUCCCUGACGAUCGUCUGCCUGGGUGGAACCAAGUACAACCACGACUACACUGUGCACUGCCAGCACCUUUGACCUCGCAAGGCAAAAUGCAAAUGAAUCUCUUGUCAUGAGUUGUGGCAGGUCUCGUGUACAAUGACGUCUUGUGUCUGACGUCUUGCGUGCGUCAUUUGCUCCACGUCACUUGAAGCAGAAAAAUGACGUCAUAGGUAAGAGAACAGAAGCUCUCUAAUGGCCGAGUGAGCAAGAAAUCGUCGUCCGCCAUUUUCUUUACAAAUAUCUCAGUGACAUUCCUCUGAACUUGUGUCUGUUCGAUUUAUCUACGAAUCUCUUCAUCCUCAUCGUCAUCUGCGGGGCUCGUGUUGUGCGCAUGGAAGUGUCUGAUGACUAAUGUAUGCGGAGAGCACAAGGUAGAUAACACAAGGUGAUGAUCACGCCAGGCAACCUCGAGCAGGUUACCACUGGGACCACUUCUUAAUCACGAGACAAGGAUUGCCAUGUUAAACGCCUCCACCAUUCCAUCCAAACCGGGUGGAGGACCCCCCAAAGAUCAAUGCUAAUCACUGAAUACACAUUAAUUUGUAGAGACAAAGCCACCCGUUCAAAUCAAGGGGAGAAAACAGCUAUUUUGAAAGCGGCAGUUGAACCGGGAGUUUCUAUAGAACGAAAUGAUCACGUGGGUACCAUGGAAUAGGGGUCUGCAAGGGAAGGAGAGUUGGGUGGGAAAAAAUUCUAGUCUGUAGGUUUGUGAAGUCUGCAGCCCGGGUAUCGUCGCCUGCACUGAGAAGGUUUCUGGUGUCCCAGAUGACCUGAGUUCAACUUACCGUGCAACUUUCACGUAAAUCAACGAAAACCUCACUGUGUUUUGUGUCAACACAACAACUGUUUGCGUCAACACAACCUAGUCUGUGGACAAAACGUCCUGGGGAAAAAAAAAAAA